UAAGCAUAUCAAUAAGCGGAGGAAAAGAAACCAACAGGGAUUGCCCUAGUAACGGCGAGUGAAGCGGCAACAGCUCAAAUUUGAAAUCUGGCUUCGGCCCGAGUUGUAAUUUGCAGAGGAAGCUUUAGGCGCGGCACCUUCUGAGUCCCCUGGAACGGGGCGCCAUAGAGGGUGAGAGCCCCGUAUAGUUGGAUGCCUAGCCUGUGUAAAGCUCCUUCGACGAGUCGAGUAGUUUGGGAAUGCUGCUCAAAAUGGGAGGUAAAUUUCUUCUAAAGCUAAAUACCGGCCAGAGACCGAUAGCGCACAAGUAGAGUGAUCGAAAGAUGAAAAGCACUUUGAAAAGAGGGUUAAAUAGCACGUGAAAUUGUUGAAAGGGAAGCGCUUGUGACCAGACUUGCGCCGGGCGGAUCAUCCGGUGUUCUCACCGGUGCACUCCGCCCGGCUCAGGCCAGCAUCGGUUCUCGCGGGGGGAUAAAGGUCCUGGGAACGUAGCUCCUCCGGGAGUGUUAUAGCCCGGGGCGUAAUGCCCUCGCGGGGACCGAGGUUCGCGCAUCUGCAAGGAUGCUGGCGUAAUGGUCAUCAGCGACCCGUCUUGAAACACGGACCAAGGAGUCAAGGUUUUGCGCGAGUGUUUGGGUGUAAAACCCGCACGCGUAAUGAAAGUGAACGUAGGUGAGAGCUUCGGCGCAUCAUCGACCGAUCCUGAUGUUUUCGGAUGGAUUUGAGUAGGAGCGUUAAGCCUUGGACCCGAAAGAUGGUGAACUAUGCUUGGAUAGGGUGAAGCCAGAGGAAACUCUGGUGGAGGCUCGCAGCGGUUCUGACGUGCAAAUCGAUCGUCAAAUCUGAGCAUGGGGGCGAAAGACUAAUCGAACCAUCUAGUAGCUGGUUACCGCCGAA
rnacentral:rRNA from 1 species